GCUGAAGGUCUGGGUAAUGAAGACACCCUCAAGCCACUGGAAAGGGAGCCCUAAGGACUCCUGCCUGAUCCAAUCCACAGCAUGAACAUUGUUGACUGAGAUACAGAUAAGACAGAGGAUUGUCUCAGGUUGAUCCCUUUGUAUAAGAGGGGAAGGAAAAAAAGCCUGCUGCAAAUGAAAAUAACACUUAUGGUUUUGAGAUAAAGAAAAUAGAUAAAGCUAUGGGCUAAGUCCUGAGCAGUGACUUCAGAUGAGAUAUGGAUGCAUGUAACUAGAAAAGAAUUGGCUCCAUAUUCUUUAUUUGACAAAACAGCCAAGACACUAAUUAAAAAUUACAGGAUUUAAUAUUUUGAAAAUUACUGUAUACCCACUGUUGUGAAUGUUGUGCAUGUUGUGAAAAGCAUUAUGGGAAGAGAUGUUAUGCUAAAAGAUUCAUUGAGUCUAACUCACUCCACAGGUAUUGUGCACUCAGAUAAACAUUAUUCAUUUUUCAUAUCAGUGUGUCUCUGUUUGGAGACCUUUCUUUAUGAAGCUGGAUAUGUUAAUUGUAACAAUGGCAGCUAUGGCCCUUUCUGGCUGCAUGUUUGUAAGCUUUAACAAACACUGUUUUUAUUCUCUGAUAAGCAAUCAACCAUGUCACAUGCUACCAAAUUUUGUUGUUGUUGCAAUUCAUCUCACAUUUAGAUGGGCAUGCUUGUGGUAUACAAGAAGAGUUGUGCAACAUUUUUCAGAUGAAUAGCUUGCCAGAAAAUACAGUUACGUGCAACCCCAAACUAACUGUGAAUUUGAUACGAAAUUGCCGAAUAGUUUGGCCACAUUUUUUUCCAGGACUCAGAUGCUGGGCAAUGAUGGAGGAGGACACAUCUUCCUUCUAAUCACUCGGCUAAAAAUUAUAGCACUCAGCUGGGAUGUGGCAGACUGAGGUUCAAUUACCCCUUUUGCCUCAUGUGGAAAAGGAAUUUGAACUUGGGUCUCCCACAUUGCAGUAGAAUGCUCUAACCAGUCAACUAUGGGAUAUUCUGCAAUAGGUUUCUUUUAAUCUGUCCUGCUGAAGCUGUUCCAUAAAUAUAAAGUCACUAAAGCCGGGGGAAUGGAACUGGGUAAGUGCGCUAACCACCAGGCUACAGAGUCACUCUUGCAUUCUCUCUGACCCAAUGACUAUUCAUUGUCAUUAUGAAUUGCCACUUUGAAUGAUUAAAAGUUAUAAGGGAUGGCCACUAUCACCAUCCAGAAAAAAUCAGUUUGGGA